AGUGAUCGCUGGCGGCGUGCUUAACACAUGCAAGUCGAGCGAAUUUCAGCAGCGUAUCGCUGAAGUUAGCGGCAGACGGGUGAGUAAUACUUGGGCAAUCUGCCCUUGAGUGGGAAACAACCUGCCGAAAGGCGGGCUAAUGUCUCAUAAGACCACAGGAUGGCAUCAUCCAGGGGUCAAAGCUCCGUAAGGGGCGCUUGAGGAGGGGCCCGAGCCUAUCAUGGUAGUUGGUGAGGUAACGGCUCACCAAGCCUUUGACGGGUAGCCGGCCUGAAAGGGUGAUCGGCCACACUGGCACUGAGACACGGGCCAGACUCCUACGGGAGGCAGCAGUGGGGAAUUUUGGACAAUGGGGCAACCCUGAUCCAGCGACGCCGCGUGAAGAAUGAAGGUCUUCGGAUUGUAAACUUCUUUUGAUGGGAUGAAUGCCCUGGUGAAUAGCCAGGGGUGACAGUACCCAUUGAAUAAGCCACGGCUAACUACGUGCC
rnacentral:rRNA from 1 species